UAACGAAUCUUCCGCAAUGCACGAAAGUGUGACGGAGCGACGCCGCGUGGAGGACGAAGUUCUUCGGAAUGUAAACUCCUGUCAGGGGAAAGAAAGUUCUGAUCUACCCCAGAGGAAGAGGCGGCUAACUCUGUGCCAGCAGCCGCGGUAAUACAGAGGCCUCGAGCGUUAGACGGAAUCACUGGGCUUAAAGCGUGUGUAGGCGGAAGGGUAAGUACCUUGUGAAAUCCCACGGCUUAACCGUGGAACGGCUUGGUAUACUGCUUUUCUUGAGCAAUCUAGGGGCGAGUGGAACAGAUGGUGGAGCGGUGAAAUGCGUAGAUAUCAUCUGGAACGCCAAUGGUGAAGACAACUCGCUGGGGAUUUGCUGACGCUGAGACACGAAAGCCAGGGGAGCGAACGGGAUUAGAUACCCGCGUAGUCCCUGAGCGGGCUGGCAAGGCGCAU
rnacentral:rRNA from 1 species